rfam:Eurypyga helias contig80343, whole genome shotgun sequence.
CCAACGGCUCUUUUCAGAGCCACCCCCCUCCGCUGAAGAGCCGAG